rnacentral:misc_RNA from 1 species
AACAGCCUUCCAUUCCCUUGGUUCCGGCUUGCAUAUUUUGUGCAGUGGAGUUGCCUUUAUGUUGUUUUUCAAUGGGUGAUUCAUGCCUGUGGUUUUACAUGGUGGCCUUAUCCAUUCCUGGAGCUUGAUAUUGCGUGGGCUCCUUUAUGGUAUUUUGCCUUGGCUGUGGUUCACGUCCCCUGUUAUGGGAUAUAUGCACUGAUUGUGAAAGCAAAAAACUCAAUUUUUCCCAGAUGGUUUCCUGGUACUUUUGUCAGGUCAUACUAAUUUGUUGUUCAUGAAACUGGGUACUAUUAUUGGUGGUUUUAAUUUUGAUUGCAUGCCUCUGUAUAAAAAAGGAGGGUAUGCUCAUCCACCCCUUUCAGAACUGUGUGUUUUGCAAGGUUCAGAAUAGAUUUUUUGUCGUAAACAUAAAA